CCUACGGGUGGCACCAGUGGGGAAUAUUGCGCAAUGGGGGGAACCCUGACGCAGCAACGCCGCGUGAAGGAAGAAGGUCUUCGGAUUGUAAACUUCUUUGAUGAGGGACGAAGUAAGUGACGGUACCUCAAAAACAAGCCACGGCUAACUACGUGCCAGCAGCCGCGGUAAUACGUAGGUGGCGAGCGUUGUCCGGAAUUACUGGGUGUAAAGGGCGUGUAGGCGGGGAUGCAAGUCAGAUGUGAAAUACCGAGGCUUAACCUCGGGGCUGCAUCUGAAACUGUGUUUCUUGAGUGUCGGAGAGGAAAGCGGAAUUCCUGGUGUAGCGGUGAAAUGCGUAGAGAUCAGGAGGAACACCGGUGGCGAAGGCGGCUUUCUGGACGACAACUGACGCUGAGGCGCGAAAGCGUGGGGAGCAAACAGGAUUAGAUACCCUGGUAGUC
rnacentral:rRNA from 1 species